AUAUCUCUCCGUACGGGAAGGAUGAGAAGCUUCGACUAAGGUUCGAUUCGAGCGAAAGCGAGAAAGCGUUGCCGCAGGCAACGACC
rnacentral:sRNA from 1 species